rnacentral:rRNA from 1 species
AUUGAACGCUGGCGGCAGGCCUAACACUUGCAAGUCGAACGAGUGGCGGACGGGUGAGUAAUGUAUGGGGACUGCCCGAUGGAGGGGGAUAACUACUGGAAACGGUAGCUAAUACCGCAUACUAUCAGAUAACCCAUAUGGGAUUAGCUUGUAGGUGGGGUAACGGCUCACCUAGGCGACGAUCCCUAGCUGGUCUGAGAGGAUGACCAGCCACACUGGGACUGAGACACGGUCCAGACUCCUACGGAGGCAGCAGUGGGGAAUAUUGCACAAUGGGCGCAAGCCUGAUGCAGCCAUGCCGCGUGUAUGAAGAAGGCCUUAGGGUUGUAAAGUACUUUCAGUGGGGAGGCGUUACCGGCAGAAGAAGCACCGGCUAACUCCGUGCCAGCAGCCGCGGUAAUAC